AUUGAACGCUAGCGGGAUGCUUUACACAUGCAAGUCGAACGGCAGCGCGGACUUCGGUCUGGCGGCGAGUGGCGAACGGGUGAGUAAUGUAUCGGAACGUGCCCAGUAGCGGGGGAUAACUACGCGAAAGCGUAGCUAAUACCGCAUACGCCCUACGGGGGAAAGCAGGGGAUCGUAAGACCUUGCACUAUUGGAGCGGCCGAUAUCGGAUUAGCUAGUUGGUGAGGUAACGGCUCACCAAGGCGACGAUCCGUAGCUGGUUUGAGAGGACGACCAGCCACACUGGGACUGAGACACGGCCCAGACUCCUACGGGAGGCAGCAGUGGGGAAUUUUGGACAAUGGGGGCAACUCUGAUCCAGCCAUCCCGCGUGUGCGAUGAAGGCCUUCGGGUUGUAAAGCACUUUUGGCAGGAAAGAAACGUCGCGGGCUAAUACCCCGUGGAACUGACGGUACCUGCAGAAUAAGCACCGGCUAACUACGUG
rnacentral:rRNA from 1 species